GGAAUAUAAGAAACCGUUUCUUAACUUUUAACUAAAAAAACUAAGAAUCGGUUUUUAAAUAAGAUAUUUAAAAGUCGGGUCUUAGUUUUUUUAGUUAAAAGUUAAGAGACGGUUUCUUAUAUUCU
rfam:Brassica oleracea var. oleracea cultivar TO1000 chromosome C3, whole genome shotgun sequence